rnacentral:rRNA from 1 species
GAUGAACGCUAGCUACAGGCUUAACACAUGCAAGUCGAGGGGAAACGAUAUUGGAAGCUUGCUUCCGAUAGGCGUCGACCGGCGCACGGGUGAGUAACGCGUAUCCAACCUGCCCAUCACUUGGGGAUAACCUUGCGAAAGUAAGACUAAUACCCAAUGACGUCUCUAGAAGACAUCUGAAAGAGAUUAAAGAUUUAUCGGUGAUGGAUGGGGAUGCGUCUGAUUAGCUUGUUGGCGGGGUAACGGCCCACCAAGGCGACGAUCAGUAGGGGUGCUGCGAGGAAGGUCCCCCACCUUGGAACUGAGACACGGUCCAAACUCCUACGGGAGGCAGCAGUGAGGAAUAUUGGUCAAUGGACGAGAGUCUGAACCAGCCAAGUAGCGUGCAGGAUGACGGCCCUAUGGGUUGUAAACUGCUUUUAUAAGGGAACAAAGUGAGAGUCGUGACUCUUUUUGCAUGUACCUUAUGAAUAAGGACCGGCUAAUUCCGUGCCAGCCGCCGCGGUAA